rnacentral:rRNA from 1 species
UACAGGGGGGGCAAGCGUUGUUCGGAAUUACUGGGCGUAAAGGGCUUGUAGGUGGCCAACUAAGUCACACGUGAAAUCCCCAGGCUUAACUGGGGAACUGCGUCCGAUACUGGAUGGCUUGAGUUUGGGAGAGGGAUGCGGAAUUCCAGGUGUAGCGGUGAAAUGCGUAGAUAUCUGGAGGAACACCGGUGGCGAAGGCGGCAUCCUGGACCAACACUGACACUGAGGAGCGAAAGCCAGGGGAGCAAACGGG